AGCGUUGUUCGGAAUUACUGGGCGUAAAGGGCUCGUAGGCGGCCAACUAAGUCAGACGUGAAAUCCCUCAGCUUAACUGGGGGACUGCGUCUGAUACUGGAUGGCUUGGAUUUGGGAGAGGAAUGCGGAAUUCCAGGUGUAGCGGUGAAAUGCGUAGAUAUCGUAAGGAAGACCAGUGGCGAAGGCGGGUCUCUGGACAGUUCCUGACGCUGAGGCACGAAGGCCAGGGGAGCAAACGGG
rnacentral:rRNA from 1 species